rnacentral:rRNA from 1 species
ACUGCUCAGUAACACGUGGACAACCUACCCUUAGGCCUGGGAUAACCCCGGGAAACUGGGAAUAAUACCGGAUAUAUCGCGAAUGCUGGAAUGCGUCGCGAUAGAAAGCUCCGGCGCCUAAGGAUGGGUCUGCGGCCUAUCAGGGUAGUAGUGGGUGUAACGUACCUACUAGCCUACGACGGGUACGGGUUGUGAGAGCAAGAGCCCGGAGAUGGAUUCUGAGACACGAAUCCAGGCCCUACGGGGUGCAGCAGGCGCGAAAACUUUACAAUGCCGGGAAGGCGAUAAGGGAACCUCGAGUGCCAGGAUACAAUCCUGGCUGUCGUAAUGCCUAAAAAGCAUUGCAUAGCAAGGGCCGGGCAAGACCGGUGCCAGCCGCCGCGGUAACACCGGCGGCUCGAGUGGUAACCGCUAUUAUUGGGUCUAAAGGGUCUGUAGCCGGCUGACUAAGUCUCUUGAGAAAUCUGGCAGCUCAACUGUCAGGCUUUCAGGAGAUACUGAUCGGCUCGAGACCGGGAGAGGUGAGAGGUACCUCAGGGGUAGGGGUGAAAUCUUGUGAUCCUUGAGGGACCACCAGUGGCGAAGGCGUCUCACCAGAACGGAUCUGACGGCAAGGGACGAAAGCUAGGGGCACGAACCGGAUUAGAUACCCGGGUAGUCCUAGCCGUAAACGAUACUCGCUAGGUGUCGGCCACGGUGCGACCGUGGUCGGUGCCGUAGGGAAGCCGUGAAGCGAGCCACCUGGGAAGUACGGCCGCAAGGCUGAAACUUAAAGGAAUUGGCGGGGGAGCAC